CCCUCGGAGCUACAACAGAGAAUGAGCUAUGCUGUAGCCUGGAGAACAGAAAUCUGAAAGAGAAUAUGAUGCAAACUUUCUUGACCUCAAAACCUCUCUUCCGAUACCAUUGUCUGGUAAUAACACAUUCUUCUGUGUUUAUCAGAUGCCUCGCUACUAAACAAUUCCAAAAGUAUGCAGCCUGAGGUGAGGCAAAUUUAGCAUGCCAUGCAAUGUGAUUAUAUUAAACAGGAGUCCUAUUUUUCCCUAUCUUAAGAUGCCCUGAAGAUUAGCAUCAAACAUUGUAGCUGACAGAAUUGGGAACUAACGCCACCAGCUUGCUAAUUCAAAUUUAAAGUAGGCCUCGGAUAUCUUGGUUAUUUGGAGCUCUCGUGUAAAUCACAAGCCAGUUAGCCAAUUGAUGUUUGAAGAGCAUUGGAAAUAAAUUUGAUGCUGUCAAGUGCAAAUGUGUAGAUGCGCUCCGCUUGCACCUGGUCUUGGUGCAGCUGCAGCUGACUUUGAAAGAAAGAAAAAAAAACCAUGAAUUCUAAACUUAAAGUGUAGCUCAUCCAAACAAGUAGCCAUCUAUCAUCAUCAAACCGCACAUAUCAUGGAUUUAAUAUCAUUGCACUGGACAUAAAAACAAAUGCACCACACCUUAGAGAUGCAACAUUUGAUCAUACACGUUCAUGACUCUGCNN
rnacentral:lncRNA from 1 species